CUGGAUAUAAUCAGGAUCUCUCAUGGUUUGAAGAUGGCUUUUUAUUCAAUGGCGAGGGAGAAAACAAGAUCCGAAAGUAACAGUUGGGAGCAUAUAAAGCAGACCUUACCCUCAUAGAUUUUGUGACGUCAUAGUUGCUGGACAGAAUACAUUUGGAUCUGACUGGGAAAAAAGGCAUCAUCAAUCCAGCAAGUUGAGUCUGUGUUAAUAACCAUGGACAUAAAACUCACAGACGAUUCCAAAAACACUAUAACUUUUAUUUUCUUUGUAGACUUAGUGUCUCUUCAUUUCAUGAUAAAUUUAUA